rnacentral:rRNA from 1 species
UAGGGAAUCUUCCNCNAUGGACGAAAGCCUGACCGAGCAACGCCGCGUGAGUGANGAAGGUCUUCGGAUCGUAAAGCUCUGUUGUUAGAGAAGAACGUUGGUGGGAGUGGCUGAGCUCCUCUUGGAGGGACACUAACCAAAAGGGGACGGUUAAUUACUGGCAACCGGCCGGGGAAUAAGUUAGGGCCCGAGGGUUUUCGGAAUUUUUGGGGGGAAAGGGGAGCGCAGGGGGUUCUUUAAUCUGAAGGGUAAACCCACGGGUUUACCCAUUGGACGCUUUGGAAACUGGAGGACUUGAGUGCAGAAGAGGAAAGUGGAAUUCCAUGUGUAUCGGUGAAAUGCGCAGAUAUAUGGAGGAACACCGGUGGCGAAAGCGGCUCUCUGGUCUGUAACUGACGCUGAGGCUCGAAAGCGUGGGGAGCAAACAGGAUUAGAUACCCUGGUAGUCCACGCCGUAAACGAUGAGUGCUAGGUGUUAGGCCCUUUCCGGGGCUUAGUGCCGCAGCUAACGCAUUAAGCACUCCGCCUGGGGAGUACGACCGCAAGGUUGAA